rnacentral:misc_RNA from 1 species
UUUCCGUAGGUGAACCUGCGGAAGGAUCAUUAACGAAUUGCAAGGAGGGUUCGAUGCUGACACCGCAAGGUGUACGUGCUCGCCCUCCGACAAUUUUAUCCAUACACCUGUGCACAUAUCUGAUGAGAGGGAAAGGAAGGGAGUCGACGCAAGUCCCUCUCGACUGGACUCUCUCUAAACACAAACUCUAUCUAAAUCUUGAACGUGAUUCGGCCGAAAGGCCAAAUAAUCUAUACAACUUUUAACAACGGAUCUCUUGGCUCUCGCAUCGAUGAAGAACGCAGC